UGUUUUUUUUUCUUCUUUUGUCAAGUAUUAAAGGAUUGAAUCCUUUAUCGCCUCUCAGAAAUCCCAAUUUGAAUAGGGUUUAGGUGAUUCAACAUGGCGGCGGAGGAGGGCGGCGUCUGUAAGCGAGCUCACGCCGAGUUCGACGACGGCGAAAUCAUUUCAGAGAUUCUGGCGAGGCUACCGGUAAAAUCUGUGAUGCGAUUCCGGUGAGCGUAUCCAAGUGGUGGAAUUCUCUGAUCUCCGAUCCUUACUUGACUAAGAAGCACUUGAGGUACGCAGAGAUGGGCAUCACGGAGAACAGCUCCAGGCUCCUUUAUUCGAUGGACCCUCCGCAAUGUCUAGACCACGAGGCAUUGAAGGAUUUGAAGGAUCAUAGGGAUGGUUAUUUUGCCAACAGAGAGCUUGGUCUUCCGGUAAUGUUGGCGGGCUACUCCAAUUGCUAUAAAAUUAUUUUUGGUAGUUGCAAUGGUUUAAUAUGUAUUUUCGUUGAAGGAGUCGACUUUAUCUUAUGGAAUCCAUGUACUGGAUACUCCAAGGUGUUACCAAGAACUCCAUUGCCCCUUUUUAAUCCACUUAGUUGUUGCAAUGGUGGGUUUGGUUAUGAUUCUGCUACUGAUGAUUACAAGCUAAUAGUGGGGACUAAAGAAAAUUCCAUUCAGGUUUUCACUCUGAAAACGAGUUCAUGGAAGGUGCUCCCCAUUAUCAAUGCUCUUAACAUCUCAGGUCGGGGGUUGUUUUUUAAUGGAGCUUUGCACUGGUUGGCACAGAAUCGCCAAACAAUUUUGUCUUUUAAUUUGGUGGAGGACAAGUUUCAUCAGAUGAUUCCAUUACCCUAUGAUGAUGCUUGCUUUCAAGGUAUGAUGAUCCAUGGAAAUUGUCUUUGUGUGUCUAAUGUUGGCCACGAUGGUCUUAACGCAAUAUGGUUGAUGAAGGAGUAUGGGGUCAAGCAAUCUUGGACUCAAGUUAUAAAGUUUUCUGCAAGGGCUAUUCCUAGAGAGUACGGACACGUCUGCUUGUGGCCUAUUUGUAUUCUAGAGAGCGGAGAACUUUUGGUUAACAAUGGGAGUACAGGUUUCUUGGUGUUAUAUGAUCCAAAGGAAAACACAUUCAAGAAUGUUACCAAGAUUCAUGAAUUGAAUUGUGGAGCUUUAGUUUACAGAGAGACUUUAGUUUCACCAGUAACUGGCAGUGUUAUAGACAUCUGAAGUCGCCGUUGUGGUGAGUCUUUUCUUUGCUUUCUCGGUCUAGUAUGAUUGUUCCUUGUGCAAUGCGUCUAAAGCAGCAUCAUGGUAGAUUACAUUUGCAAAGAGAUCAAGAAGCCAAGCAACCCAGUAUAAGGUCAAGGUGGGAGUCUGGAUGUAGAGGCAUGCGUUUCCUUCGCUUGAAAACAAAUUCAAAGAUCCUAGCAGAUUGACUAGCUGAGCUGUCAUUCCUCAAGUAGCUGAAGUUCUCAGAGCUAUGUGUCCUUAUCAUAUGUAUAAACUUUGUGUUUUUGUAAUAAACUAUAAUUUGGGUGUUUAAGUAGAGCUUUGUGUUUGAUUUCUCAACCCAGAACCUGAUCUAAUGCAGUACUUUUUGACUUCUGGAAGAGGAAUGUUUGAUACAAAUGGAAAUGAACUGAGACAUACAGUGUGGAAAUGCAAAUGUUUUGGAUGA